CAUUAAGUGGCUGAAUUUUAAGCAUUGGUCUCUUAAACCAAAUCAUAGUACAUUGAUAAGUACUCUUAAUGA
rnacentral:tRNA from 1 species